UGACGAUGCGCCUCUUAGACAUCGACGGUUUAUUACAUCAACGUUUCGGUUUUUGAAAAAGGUCGAGCUCCGACCGAAACGUUGAUGUAAUAAACCGUCGUUCUCUAAGAGGCGCAUCGUC
rnacentral:pre_miRNA from 1 species